AUGGCGACCCCACUCACCUCGCUGCUCCUCUCCCAACCCGAACAAUGGCAUCACGUCCUCUUAGCACUUUUCUCCAUCCUAUCCCUCCUGCUGUGGAGAAGGAGCUCGUCCAGGAAACGGCUCAAGCUGCCACCAGGCCCUGCGAGGGUGCCCCUCCUUGGCAACCUGCACCAGCUCGGCCCGAUGCCGCACCGGACCCUGCGAGACCUGGCGCGGGUCCACGGGCCGGUGAUGCAGCUGCAGCUCGGUAAGGCGCCGACAGUGGUGCUGUCGUCCGCGGAGGCGGCGUGGGAGGCGCUCAAGGCUCAUGACCUCGACUGCUGCACGCGGCCCGUGUCCGCGGGGACGAAGCGGCUGACCUACGACCUCAAGAACGUGGCGUUCGCGCCCUACGGCGCGUACUGGCGGGAGGUGCGCAAGCUCCUCACCGUCGAGCUCCUCAGCGCGCGCCGCGUCAAGGCGGCGUGGUACGCACGCCAUGAGCAGGUGGAGAAACUGAUGAGCACGCUGAGCCAUGCAGAAGCGAAGCCAGUGGCACUGGACGAGCACAUCUUGAGCCUCUCCGAUGGUAUCAUCGGCACGGUAGCGUUUGGCAACAUCUAUGGCAGUGAUAAGUUCUCCCAAAAUAAUAGUUUCCAGGAUGCGCUCGACGAUGUAAUGGAGAUGCUAUCCAGCUCCGGCUCCUCCGCCGAGGACUUGCUCCCUGGAGUCAUCGGCCGCCUUGUUGACCACCUUACCGGCUUCAUAGCCCGCCGCGAGCGAAUAUUCAAACAAUUAGACUCCUUCUUUGAGACGGUCAUUGAGCAUCACUUGGACCCUAAGCGUGUGUUACCUGAGAAUGGCGGCGACCUCAUUGAUGUCCUCAUCGACCUCUGGAAGAAACCACGUGGCAUAUUUAGGUUCACCAAGGACCACGUCAAGGCCGUAAUCUUUUCGACGUUCGUUGCUGGCAUUGACACUAGUGCAGCAACGAUUAUGUGGGCGAUGUCGGAGCUGGUCCGGAAGCCGCGCGUGCUCAAGAAGGUGCAGGACCAUAUUAGGGCCUUGGUGGGAGGCAACAAGAGAGUGAAACCAGAAGACAUGCCCAAACUCAGCUACCUCAGGAUGGUGGUGAAGGAGACCUUGCGGUUGCACCCAGCAGCACCGCUUCUACUGCCAAGGGAGACCAUGCGAGACAUCAAGAUCGGUGGGUAUGACGUGCCGGCCAAGACACGGAUCUAUGUGAAUGCAUGGGCGAUCGGCAGAGACCCGAUAAGCUGGUCUAACGACCCAGAUGAGUUCAACCCUGAUAGGUUUGAAGUAAAUGAUAUAGACUUCAAAGGCGAGCAUCCAGAGCUAACGCCGUUUGGCGCGGGACGGCGGAUAUGCCCAGGCAUCUCCAUGGCCAUGGCCACCAUCGAGUUUACACUCGCCAAUCUGCUCUUCAGUUUUGAGUGGGUGCUCCCAGAGGGGACGACAACGGAUGAUGUGAACAUGAAGGAAGAAGGAAGGCUUAUCUUGCACCGAAAGGAGCCACUCGUACUCGUUCCCACCGCAUACCACCACGACCUUGAAUAG
rnacentral:rRNA from 1 species